rnacentral:lncRNA from 1 species
AAUCACCAGUUGUCUGCACAAGGUUAUACUCUUCAAGGAACUACACUUAAACAUGCUCAUGGAAGAAAACAAAGAACUUUCAGCAGAACAGAAAGAAAGCAGAACAGAGAUCUCUGGAGUGACUCAAUAAAUGACUCCUUACAGAUCAACCCAACUCAAAGCAACUUAUAUUUCCUUAGCGAAACUGUGCCACAUAAUUCUGCAUCAACUUCUACAUCUGAUGGUCUAUCCAUACUAAUAAAAACGGAACCUUUUAUUGUGAACAAUUCGGCUAUUAAUGGAUCAAAUGUGCCCGUCCAUUCAACAAAAUCUUGUGUUUAAUAAUCUGAACAGAUGAAGGUGAUUUAAUUAUGUGGAGGAAGUAGAUCUCAUUAUCAUCUUCAAUAUACUCUAAAAAUGUGACUCUGGUAUGACCUUGAAAAAAUUUCAAAUCAGUUGAGAUUCAAGCCAUGCAUGAGAAAUGAGAACAAAACUUAAGUUAAGAUGACAACUUGCCUACUGUAUGGUAUUGAAAAAUGUGUUAAACUGAUUCAAAUGCUGUGCAACAUGUUGUGCAAACUCAUUGUAGAAAAAAAAGAGAAAAAAAAAUCACAUUAUUGUUCUUAAUGCCUGAAUAAUUUUCAUUUUUAUUCAUUUGUUAUAAAUGUCAUUAUUAUCUUCCUUGUUUCAAAAUUUUAAUUUUUUUUUAAUGUUUUUGUUGUAAUUUUGAGUUUUACUUAUUUAUAGUAAUCAUGUUGUAUUGCUUAGUUCCAAUAUUUUUGCUUUUACCUUGUUGCAUGUUUUUCUUCUAAAAUCAACUUUCUUUAUAUAAACCUUGUUGUAUUUACUAAAUUUGAUGUUUUUAUAUUAACGUUCUUGCAUCCUUAAGUUUUAACAUUUAUAUAAUAACACUAAAAUUUUUGUGUUUUUCAAUUUUUAUUUCAUCCAUUUAUCAGAAUUAAACAGAACAGAUAAAAAUAUAUUGUGUAUAUGUUUAUAUAAUUCUCUUAAGAAACUUGGCAAUUUGUAACAUAUAUUAAAAAUUCUCAUUACACUAAGUCUUACUUGGAUAAAAAUUUUCAUAACUUAUUUAUAAAAGUUAUGUAACCAUGAGUUAAGUAUCUUUCAAUUGUUAAAAUUUCUAUUAAUCUGUUUCAGCAUAAACUUUACAUUUUCCAACUAAUAUAUAGCUAAAUUAAUUGUUAAAUUAAAUUAUCUUAAUUUUUGAAAUCCCAAGUACCAUAUUUUUAAACUGUUCUGCAAUUAUUUUUUUUAUGUUAAGCCUUACUUGGAUCAAAUUUUCACAUCUUAUUUUAUAAAGGUUAUGUAGCCAUGAGUAAAGUAACAUACCUUUCAAUAUGUUUAGAUUUCAAAUAAUCUGUAUGAGCAUAAAAUGAGCAUUUUUUAACUAAUAUGUAGCUAAAUUAAAUGUUAAGUUAAAUUAUCUUCAUUUGUAAAAUCCCAAAUUAUUUUUAAGCUCUUCUGCUAAUUAAGAGAACAGAAUGUGUGUUUAUUUGCCAAGUAGUGUAUAACUUAGAUAGAAAUAUUUAACGUACAAUUACAAUUGAUGUUUUACAUAUUAUUUUUUUUUGUUUCUGAUUUGAAAAGAAAAAAACUUUAUGCUAACAGCAAUCAGUUUUUAACAUUAAUUUAACCGAAAUGAUUAUUUUACCCUGUAUUUGAUAUUGGUCAGUGAAGAUAAAUGUUUAUUGGUGGGUUGCAGCUGUUACUGGCUGAGUCAAUAUUUCAUUUCCUUAUAUUAAUUUCUGAAUGUGAUAUUUUUUUAGAAAGAGCUAUAUUUUAUAAUUUUAUCAUUUAAUUAUUUAUAGUUAUAAAGAAGUUGUAGUAUUUGUCUUUAUCAAUCAUUUAUUUUUAUAGUUGUGAAUAUUGUGCUAAAUAAACAUUCCAGGGAU